CCUGGGGCAGUGUUAUACUGAGGGAUGCAUAGGAUAACAGAGUCUGCUUUGAUUUGGUAACAUGGUGUCAAUAAUGGAAAUAGGAUUCAUCUUCAUGUAGGUGCUAAAAGAUUGGCCGUUCCACAAAAAGACAUUCUAUUCAGGACAGCAAAUCUCUUCUCACUGACGCGUUUGGUAGCACAAGUCAAUGAGACGGUAAAUUUGAUCCCCUGUCUCUCUUGCCCUCUGCUGCUCUGUUGAGGUAGAGAUCUCUUCUCAUGAACCUCAACUCUGGGAAGUGGACGACAGCUUUAACUUCCAGGAGCACCCUUUGCACCUUGGCCAUCCUGAGCAGGUGGAUGCAGCCUUUCCCUAGCUUCUAAGAAAGGGGAAGAGAGCCCCCCUGAAGAGACCUUUUCUCCGAGCAAGGACUGAAAGCAAGUGCAAGCAAGAAGCGUAGGGGAUCCCUAGAACUAGACUGUGAGUUGAGAGGAGUACCGUUCAACGUAUGUAGCUGCCUGGUACCCUUGACUUUUCCGUUUUCUUCCUCAUACUUCACCCAGGUCUGGUGUCUUGUCUUUUCACAGGAGAGUAAACGUGCCUUUUAACAUCUCAGAGCUUCUACUGCUGGUUUCAUACAGACCCGUGGGAUGGUGAUGCUCACAGUUGCUGCCCGACUGUCCAGACUGAUAAGGUCUCACCAGUGUGUGCACUCAGGUGUCAACCAGUGUCCUGCUGACUGGUGUGUGUUCACUCUUAAGAGAUAUGCUUCUCAUGGUGUUGACCAGAUUUCUUGGAAGAUGUGACUGCUGCAGAUAGUACCAACAAUAUCUGGGCAGGUAUGUGAUCAGAGAAAAGCUAAGUUAUGGGCUGAAACAGUCUGUAUUUUCUAUAACACAAGAUAAA
rnacentral:lncRNA from 1 species